UACGUAGGGUGCGAGCGUUGUCCGGAAUUAUUGGGCGUAAAGGGCUCGUAGGCGGUUUGUCGCGUCGGGAGUGAAAACCCAGGGCUUAACUCUGGGCCUGCUUUCGAUACGGGCAGACUAGAGGCAUGCAGGGGAGAACGGAAUUCCUGGUGUAGCGGUGAAAUGCGCAGAUAUCAGGAGGAACACCGGUGGCGAAGGCGGUUCUCUGGGCAUGUCCUGACGCUGAGGAGCGAAAGUGUGGGGAGCGAACAGG
rnacentral:rRNA from 1 species